GACGAACGCUGGCGGCGUGCUUAGCACAUGCAAGUCGAACGGAAAGGCCCUGCUUUUGUGGGGUGCUCGAGUGGCGAACGGGUGAGUAACACGUGAGUAACCUGCCCUUGACUUGGGGAUAACUUCAGGAAACUGGGGCUAAUACCGGAUAGGAGCUCCUGCUGCAUGGUGGGGGUUGGAAAGUUUCGGCGGUUGGGGAUGGACUCGCGGCUUAUCAGCUUGUUGGUGGGGUAGUGGCUUACCAAGGCUUUGACGGGUAGCCGGCCUGAGAGGGUGACCGGCCACAUUGGGACUGAGAUACGGCCCAGACUCCUACGGGAGGCAGCAGUGGGGAAUAUUGCACAAUGGGCGGAAGCCUGAUGCAGCAACGCCGCGUGCGGGAUGACGGCCUUCGGGUUGUAAACCGCUUUCGCCUGUGACGAAGCGUGAGUGACGGUAAUGGGUAAAGAAGCACCGGCUAACUACGU
rnacentral:rRNA from 1 species